UGUUAUGUUUCNGAGCCCUACCUACCCGC
rnacentral:piRNA from 1 species